rnacentral:rRNA from 1 species
CCAGGGCAGCAGGUGUGGGAUAUUCUGCAUGGGGCGCACACAGGCCUGAUCAGCAUUUCCCGCGUGUAUUGAAGAAAGUCCUUUCGGGUUUGUUAAGCUACUUAAGUCGGGGAGGGGAAGGGCAGGUAAGCUAAUACCUUGCUUGUCUAUGACGCGUUACCGGCCAGGAUGAAGGCACCGGGCUAACUUCUGUGGCCAGCCAAUCGCGGGUUAUACAGGGGGGGUGCCAAGCGGUUAAUCCGGAAAUUACUGGGGCGUUAAAGCGCCGCCGUCAGGUGGGUUUGGUUCAGUUGGAUGUGAAAGUCCCCGGGCUCAAACCUGGGAACUGCAUUCAAAACUGGCCAGCUAGAGUUCGGUAGAGGGGGGGUGGAAAUUUCCUGUGUAGCGGUGAAAUGCGUAGAUAUAGGAAGGAACUCCAGUGGCGAAGGCGGCCACCUGGACUGAUACUGACACUGAGGUGCGAAAGCGUGGGGGAGCAAACAGGAUUAGAUACCCUGGUAGUUCACCCCGUAAACGAUGUCAACUAGGCGGUGGAAUCCUUGAGAUUGUAGUGGCGCAGCUAACGCAUUAAGUUGACCGCCUGGGGAGUUCGGCCGCAAGGUUAAAACUCAAAUGAAUUGACGGGGGCCCGCACAAGCGGUGGAGCAUGUGGUUUAAUUUGAAGCAACGCGAAGAACCUUUCCAGGCCUUGACAUGCAGAGAACUUUCCAGAGAUGGAUUGGUGCCUUUGGGAACUUUGACACAGGUGCUGCAUGGCUGUCGUCAACUUGUGUCGUGAGAUGUUGGGUUAAGUUCCGUAACGAGCGCAACCCUUGUCCUUAGUUACCAACCCGUAAUGGUGGGCACUCUAAGGAGACUGCCGGUGACAAACCGGAGGAAGGUGGGGAUGACGUCAAGUCAUCAUGGCCCUUACGGCUUGGGCUACACACGUGCUACAAUGGUCGGUACAGAGGGUUGCCAAGUCGCGAGGUGGAGCUAAUCUCACAAAACCGAUCGUAGUCCGGAUCGCAGUCUGCAACUCGACUGCGUGAAGUCGGAAUCGCUAGUAAUCGCGAAUCAGAAUGUCGCGGUGAAUACGUUCCCGGGCCUUGUACACACCGCCCGUCACACCAUGGGAGUGGGUUGCACACAGAAGUAGCGUAGUCUAACCUCGGGAGACGCUACCAC